rnacentral:rRNA from 1 species
CAAACGGGUGAGUAACACGUGGGAACACGCCUUCGAGUGGGGAAUAACGCUGAGAAAUCAGUGCUAAUACCGCAUAUGGUCUAACGACUAAAGCAGCAAUGCGCUCGGAGAGUGGCCCGCGUCCGAUUAGCUAGUUGGUGGGGUAAUGGCCUACCAAGGCGGUGAUCGGUAGCUGGUCUGAGAGGAUGGUCAGCCACACUGGGACUGCGAACGGCCCAG